AUUGAACGCUGGCGGCAGGCCUAACACAUGCAUGUCGAACGAGUGGCGGACGGGUGAGUAAUGUCUGGGAAACUGCCUGAUGGAGGGGGAUAACUACUGGAAACGGUAGCUAAUACCGCAUACCAUCAGAUGUGCCCAGAUGGGAUUAGCUUGUUGGUGGGGUAACUGCUCACCAAGGCGACGAGCCCUAGCUGGUCAGCGAGGAUGACCCGCCACACUGGAACUGAGACACGGUCCAGACUCGUACGGGAGGCAGCAGAGGGGAAUAGUGCACAAUGGGCGCAAGCCUGAUGCAGCCAUGCCGCGUGUAUGAAGAAGGCCUUCGGGUUGGAAAGUACUUUCAGCGGGGAGGCGUUACCCGCAGAAGAAGCACCGGCUAACUCGGUGCCAGCAGCCGCGGUAAUAC
rnacentral:rRNA from 1 species